rnacentral:lncRNA from 1 species
AUACAAGAAAUUGAAAGAGCAAAACAACCCAAGUGAAGCAGGCUAGAUGAAGAUGAACCUGGCUAAUGAAGCUGAAAUUUGGAGGAGCGUUUGUUUUGGGUUGAUGAUUUCACUAAUCUUGGAAGUUGGAUUUGGAGGAGUUUAAUGGAUCAUAGGGACACAGCAAGACAAUUUAUAACCUGCACCGUUAUGUCUGGCCGGAAUGCACUCUUCUGGUUGGAUGAUUAGACUGGGAUGGGUUCUCUUUUGCAUCUAACGGGACCCUCAGGAAUCUCCUUUUCUGCCUAUGUCUUUGAGGCGUUAAAUGAAGGACGGUGGAUUGCUUCUCGCAGCAGACAUCCGACUCUAGCUCUGCUACGGUCGUGCAUGCCUUCUCCGCUCCCUUCUCUGGAUUCUUCAGAGCCUGACUUCUAUUUUUGGAAGAACUCCCCUCAUGAUUCACCAGAUAGGUUUUCUGCCUCCAAGGUUUGGCAUUUCCUAAAUCCUAUUGAAAGCCCGGUGACUUGGUUUUCUCUGGUCUGGUUCAAACAAAAAAUCCCUAAGCAUGCAUUCAUUGCUUGGCUUGCGUUCAGAGAUCGUCUAAGCUCAUGGGGUAUUCAGGUUUCACCAGGUUGUAUGUUGUGUGGUGAUGAAAAUGAACCCACCGCUUUCCUUUGAAGAUGUGGAGGCUUGGCUGAGGUCCUCGGCACUUUGCAGAGAACUGAAGCCUCUUGUUCUCCUAAUAUUUCAAGCAGUGAUCUAUUUUCUAUGGAAGGAGCGAAAUUCCUGAUUUCAUAAUUCAUUAAGCAAGCCUUCUCAAGUUGUUAUAAAGGAAAUCCAGCUUCAAAUAAGAGCAAGACUUCUGGGUCUGGAACGGGAGAGACUGUCCACUUCUCAUUCAGUUACCACAGCAGCUUCAAGACACACAAGAACAAGAACAUAUCAUCACAAACUUCGUUCCCUUGGGCUGCAAACAACAAGCCCAAAAACCACAGAGACUAUUCUUUCCUCUUGUAACCAAACUCAAUUAGUACCUCUAGUCUAUUUGCCUCUCUUCGCUUCUAUCCACAGACUCCUUAGUCUCUCUCUGUCAGGGAUCAGAUUCAGGGUCCUUCAUGGCUAGGAACAAUCGAAUGGCUAAUAGGUUAAUUUAACGAAAUAAUUGAAGAUUACCGAGAUGCGAAUAGUUAUUGUAAUUUGUACUCUAUUAAUAAUUAAUUGUGCCUCGGCCACAUCUCUGUGUCCACCGACUAUUUUUACGUUAUAGUAUUCCAGUGACGUAUAUCCCUCUAACUGAUUCAAACCACAUUUACAGCUACACGUGUAAAAUAUUUCGAAAUAAAAAAGUGAAUAAAAAAGGAAUUAAAACAAUUAUCCUGCGCGCUGUACCAACUACAAAGUCGUAUUAAUCAGUGACUAAUUAAAUCUCCAAAAGGACAGUUUAGGGGGUGUUAGUGGGGAUGAGAUUUAUAAUGAGUCUUAAAAUUUCUAAGUCUAGUGUUAUUGGUUUAUAGAUUCUCAUCUUCUCAUUGAAAUCUAUUGUUAUUGGUUUGAUGAUUCUAUAACUCUAUACAAAAUCAUUUGUUAUUCAAAAAGUUUAGAUUUUAAUGAUUCUACAAAUCUAUUAAAGUAAGUGUUAUUGGAAGUUGAAUUCUUAUCCUUUUAACUCACAAAUUAAGAUUUUGAGAAUACUACAUGUUUACCUUGAAUUCUUAGAAUCAUUACAUUACUUUAUUUUCAUAGAUUUUCACAAUAUACAAAAUUCUCUACAUCUCUUUCCAAAUUUAACAAAUCUCUCAACUUUUAAAAUCAACAAACUCUAUAGAAAUCUAAGUCCCACUAACACCCCCUUAUAUUCUUUUUCUUUUUCAGCAGGCCACGAUAUAUAUAAAAAGGUACAAAACUUCUUCAAGGAUAGUCGACAAAGAAGAAUACAUUACCUAACAAAAAUGAUGAUGAAAGAUGUUCAAAACAUGAGAUCCGAGAAGAUUAGUGCCAAGGACGAACCUUUUCAGUCACCAGGAGAUUACGUUAGAUUCAUAAGCCCAGAGGUUUACAAAUCCAACAGACAGAAAUAUCU